rnacentral:rRNA from 1 species
GAGUUUGAUCGUGGCUCAGGAUGAACGCUAGCGGCAGGCCUAAUACAUGCAAGACGAACGGUAAGUUGUGUAGCAAUACAUAACCUAGAGUGUCGUAAGGGUGCGUAACACGUAUGCAAUCUGCCCGGAACUGGAGGAUAGCUCGCCGAAAGGCGAAUUAACACUCCAUAGGAUGGUAGGGAGGCAUCUCCUAGUCAUUAAAACUACGGUGGUUUCGGAUGAGCAUGCGGAUGAUUAGCUAGUUGGUGAGGUAACGGCUCACCAAGGCGAUGAUCAAUAGGGGAACUGAGAGGUUGAUCCCCCACACUGGCACUGAGAUACGGGGCCAGACUCCUACGGGAGGCAGCAGUAGGGAAUAUUGGACAAUGGGUGCGAGCCUGAUCCAGCCAUGCCGCGUG